AAGGUACUCCCUCCGUCCGGAAAUACUUGUCCUCGAAAUGGUUGUAUCUAGACUUAUUUUAGUUAUAGAUGCAUCCAUUUUAUCUAUUUCUAGGACAAGUAUUUUCGGGCGGAGGGAGUACUCC
rfam:Triticum aestivum genome assembly, contig: Triticum_aestivum_CS42_TGACv1_scaffold_605515_7DL